GGUCCAAUAGUCUAGUGGUUAUGACAUCUGUCUUACACACAGAAGGUCUCCGGUUCGACCCCGGAUUGGACCA
rnacentral:tRNA from 1 species